rnacentral:miRNA from 1 species
CACGAAACGUUUGUUCGCCACCACAGCAACCUAACUAAAUAUAUUGUAUUUAUUGUAUUUUUCUGAAUUAUGAUAAAAACAAUAAAUAUUUGCGUAGUUUUAUCAUAAAAAUAAAAUAAAUACAAUAUAUUUAGUUAGUUUCCUGUGGUGGCGAACAAACGUUUUGUG